rnacentral:lncRNA from 1 species
UAGGAAAUCUUUAAGAGUUCAUCUUCUGAUGCCAAAUGUGGCCCACUCCAGUUCUACAAGCAAAUCUGACAGAAGAGAGCACCUGUGUCCACCAGCUCACACAUACAAGAUUCCUCCUGGUGGCUAAGGCUGUUUGUGUCCCUGGUUUGGGGCCAGUGAGACUUGACAAGGAACACUGAUGGGAAACAGUUGGCGGGAGGAUUCUUCACUUCUGAGCCGUAGCCCAAAUGGAGGUUUCAGGCUCCUGACGUCUCGUGUUCUUCCUCUCAGGUGACUUGCUUUCUACAUGCCUUAACUGUGCCCUCUGUUGUAUCUACUAUGAUAAACCAGUAGCAAGGACAUUACUGUCGUGAGAAAUGGAGAACAUAACAGACUAAGGUGAUGGAAGGAAAGAGUCUUGUCAACAUCUUGGCCUUGCAGUCUCCAGCUUCCACACUGUCAAGAAAUGAGUAUCUAUUGUUUAAUCAAAAAAGUGUUUUCUGCUCUUAAGCAAAAGGACAAUGCUGUACUUACCUUCCAGCUGUCCCCUUCUCUGCCCUCAGACUGUGACAAUCAUGUUUUGACCACAAGAACAAGAUGUAAGACCCAAGGAGAGAGGGGGAGAGGGAGGAUGGCUCAUGGACACCAAAAUACGGACAGAAGUAAUAAAUUGUUCUGUUCUACAAAACAAUAGAAUAGGUGUCCCCACAGUAACUGCUGCCAUAGUCCAUAAAAGUCACUAGAAGGGAGAUGUUUGUUGGCUUCGAACACAAAGCAACAAUGACAGAAAGAGGAACAGCUCUGAUUUGAUUAGUGCCUGUGGUACAGACACAUGUAUUGAAAUGUCACUUGACCUGCUGGUCCAGCUCAGUGAGAGCCCAGUGCUUUUUACUUGAAGUCUGGAAAGCUGGCCGAUUUGUAUUGUUGACAAUGUUGGGGACAAAGAGUAGAUGAUGAAGAAUUAAAGACGUGGUUGCAUCAGAAUUGUAGUACUUGGAGACUUGUUAUUCCCUCUGAGUGUCCUACUUCCCUGCGGGGGUCUCGGUCCACCAUGGCCCACAAAGUGAUGUGGGAGGCAAGAAGGUAGUAAGAUCAACACAACUCAGUAGCUGGAGUUCAUUCAAACUUCAGGAGUCUCCCCCUGAGUAGCUUAUUUCAGGCACACUUAAGCAGGGCACAAUUUGGUGAAAAUCUUCCUCACAGUAACUAAUUCUGUAUGCAC